GUCAACGGCCGGGAGGGGGCUGAGGCGAGGGGGGGGGCGCAGGCGGUGGAGCGGUGCUGAGGGGCUGAGCGACCUGGUGUUAGCUUUGUGUCAGCUGCAUCGCUAACACAAAAGCUUGAAGCUAUAAAAGCCUGAAAGCAAGCAUCUCUCCUAUAGAGUAGUCUGUGGUUUGGUGAUACCCCAGGAAAAAAGGAGGCACAGAAUCCAGGAGGAAAGACAGAAAUUCAUCUCAUGCUUCUAGGCAGGUGCCCCAGCCACUAGGUUAUUGGCUUCCAGAAGUUUCCUAUUGUCCAGUUCCUACCCUUGCCCUGAAAGCAUCCUUACAGCUAAAAACUUAGUGGUAGCUGGUACAGCCUGUCAGUGCUGGCUGAAGAGCCAUCUUUGAACAGCAAGAAAAUUCAGGAUACAUGGAGCAAGUGCUCGAAAUCCUUUCUGCCUGUAUGACAUUGCCUCUCAUGGGAUGCAGCACAGCUGUUGAAUGAUCCACUCGCUUUUUGGACAAAACAGAUGAGUUUACGUCCCAGUAUUUCUGCCACCAAGGAAAAGGACUGCGGAUGAGGGGCUACAUUUGUAAGUACUGCAUUUGUGCAGAACGAUGUGAUGACAGCGCACAAAAGAACAGAAAAGGAGGUCAGUGAUGUAUACCUUUUCCUGGCUUGAUUUCUUCUGUAAGACUUGCCUGUUCCUGUACUUGGAAUUAUGUGUAAUCCUAUUAACUGUGAGGUUAUUCAAUUCAGAAGUGAAGCACCAGAAGUCAGCUCAUUGUACAAUGCAUAAAUUACAUUCCAAUAGCUUUAGCAUCACAAUGGUGUCUUGCUUAACUUGUAAGUGAUCAAGAAAAUGAAAUGAUUUUCACUCUAAUUCUCAUUUGUCUAUAAAUAACUAUAAAGAUGAUGCUACAAAAUUAAGGCUAAUCCUUUAUUAUUUAAAAACUACUUACUACACUGCAUCUUCAGACCAAUCCCCUCUCCUAGUUGCCACGGGCAAUGCCUUUUCAAAGUGGACAACAGUAAAAGCUAACAGGUGUUACUGGAACAGGAAUGCAGAAGAAUGAACCAGUGUGGCAUAAUAACGGCACAGAGAAGCUAAGAAGCUGGCUGCCAGCUCAUAGGCUUAAGAACAAGAACCACUUAAGGAAAAGGUUAAGCUGUUAGGGUCCAGACAGGCAAGUGAAGAGAAAUAUCACUCAUUUAACAACUAGCAGCAAUGUUCUGACUUAUUUCUCUACUCAUUUGUUAGUCAAUAAAAUAUUAAGGCUUGGUCCUGAAACAGCUGCUCUGUUCAUUUUUCUGGGGAGUACUUCAGUCCUCCACUGUCCUUUCUGCUUCCCUGGCUAUGUCAAAAAGGUGGCACAUUGGUAAUGUUCAUAGGUUGAAGAGCUUCCUUCUGCCCAUCUGGGCUGGCGCUUCCCAACUGGGCAGCAGCUCCCAGCUUAUUUAUGUGUUUGAGUCUCUUUGGCUGCAUUGAGCUGCCUGGGAAUGCUGGAAAGUUGCCUUCACAACCCC